rnacentral:lncRNA from 1 species
CCUCCUGUUAACAAAGCAAUGACAAUGCUUUGGCACGGGCAAAGUGUCAGCUAUAUUGGUUAUCUUGAUCAGUUGCGAAUGAACGAAUAAAGUCUUGAGAGAAUAUUUUUAGCAAUGAAGAAGAAAAGGAAAAAUACUGCAUAUGAUAUCCGCCGCUCACGUGACACACUGAGCUCGCACGCGUGGUAGAAAUAUACCCACUAUGCUCUGUGCGUCGUUACCUGUGACUUUGUGUGACGUAUUUCCUUCACUGAAAUCUGUGGAAGGCCAUCUGCAGUAGCCAUCAGCCCUUCCUACGGGGUGCUGGGUGACGAGCGAAGUUGGCUGGCUUCCUGCGGUGCAGGGGCGGAUCCAGAAACUUUUCCGAGUGGUGCAGGCUGGAGAUUUUUUAAUGGCUCACUUUUGUGGACAAGCAGAAAUGAAGCUGAAACAUUAUACAUGCCAUACAUUGUUUACAACGUUUACAGCUGACGUAUGCUGUAGCCCCAUCGGGAAAAAAGCUUUCCCAGUCCUGGUCCCAUGGUGGGGUCACACACAGAAAUAACGAGCUCUUCAAGCACCGUAGAGGCUUCUGUAGGACCCAAGAUGACGACAACGUGUCAACGCAUCAUACGGCGUUUGACAAUAAUAGUGCGCCUCAAAGAGUUUGUAUGGAACGCACUGACCAUUCGUAAUGCACAAAAUUAGUCGACCCAAUGCGCGUUUGGAAAGGGUCGACAGAUUUUGCGUAUUGGCCAACGCGUUACAAACUCUUGGAGGGGCACUAUUGUGAAUCUCGAGGUGUUCCCCAUCUGUAUUAAAAUCCCUCGUGGGGCCUAUUGUGCAUCUCUUCAAAAGAUGGAAAAGAACUUCACCAGUGCAUCUUGAUGUAACUCCACCAGCGUUGUUGGAGGGCCUUUGCGAAAAGAUCUUAGGUCUCUUUUACAUGCUAUAGUAGUAGAGCUGGGCUAUAGUAGUUCUUUUUUGUAAACUUGACAAACUUAUUAAAGACAAAUUCAUUAUAAUAAACCUGAGAAGUUCCAAUUCAAUCCAAAAGAGAAAUUCGUUAUUACUGUCCUUUAUCAUUUCUUCCCUAUACGCUGUUGGCACUCGUGCUUUAAGCUCGCAUGGGGUUUUGGCUGGCCUGUAUUUUGCGAGAAUAAUGUCUGAUUUUCAUGAAAUUUGUAUCAAAAUGGUUGAAAGAUAUUAUACAUUAAAAAUAAUCAUGCCAAUGUGAGACGAAACCAGGGGUGGACCAAGGACCUUUUUUCGUUGGAAGUUCGAAUUCUCCCAGCCGGAGGGGGAUGCUAAAUAUGUCGCUGUUGUUGAAGCCACGUACAUAUAGCAACAAAAAAAUUCUGAGUCAUUAGCAUUGUUGAUGUACCAGCAGAGGCCUUUGUCACUGCACACACGUAUUCUUCUCGGGGACACCAGUAUAAAUUUAACAAACAAUAUGCCAGUACCAGUGCCUUGAGCAACAGCAUAGGGUAUUGUUGAAUUUGCAAAACAUCACAUGCAACCCUUAGGGCCGAACGUUUUAAAUUGUUAGUGCUCGUAAAUAAGCUACCUAAGGCACGUGACACCACUCUAUCAAACUUCAAUUACAUUUGGCCAGAACGGUAUAUUCAAUUACGAUAUCAAACUGUCCAAAGAAAUUAGACUUUUAGUCUGGUCCCACUAUUGUAACUCAAAUACUUUUAUUUACAUAUGUACAGCGUUUUUUUAUUACAAUCGUCUGAUUUGUUCGAAUCUAAAUUGAAAUCAGAAGAAUUUCAUUAAACAGUCUAAUACAUUAAAAGAAGGAGCAUCCAAAUCUAUUACUUUUCAGGGGGGAAAAAUAAAUUGGCCUGUGAUUAGAAAAUCUAAA